rnacentral:rRNA from 1 species
GACGAACGCUGGCGGCGUGCUUAACACAUGCAAGUCGAACGGAAAGGCCCUGCUUGCAGGGUACUCGAGUGGCGAACGGGUGAAUAACACGUGGGUGAUCUGCCCUGCACUUCGGGAUAAGCCUGGGAAACUGGGUCUAAUACCGGAUAGGAGCCAUUUUUAGUGUGAUGGUUGGAAAGUUUUUUCGGUGUAGGAUGAGCUCGCGGCCUAUCAGCUUGUUGGUGGGGUAAUGGCCUACCAAGGCGGCGACGGGUAGCCGGCCUGAGAGGGUGGACGGCCACAUUGGGACUGAGAUACGGCCCAGACUCCUACGGGAGGCAGCAGUGGGGAAUAUUGCACAAUGGGCGCAAGCCUGAUGCAGCGACGCCGCGUGGGGGAUGACGGCCUUCGGGUUGUAAACUCCUUUCGCUAGGGACGAAGCUUUUUGUGACGGUACCUAGAUAAGAAGCACCGGCUAACUACGUG